rnacentral:rRNA from 1 species
UUGUCGUCAGCUCGUGCCGUGAGGUGUCGGGUUAAGUCCCAUAACGAGCGCAACCCCACCCUUUAGUUGCCAUCAGGUUAAGCUGGGGACUCUAAAGGAACUGCCUACGCAAGUAGUGAGGAAGGCGGGGACGACGUCAAGUCAUCAUGGCCCUUAUGUCCAGGGCGACACGCGUGCUACAAUGGCCGGCACAACGGGAAGCGAAGGGGCGACCCUGAGCGGAUCCCACAAAAGCCGGUCCCAGUUCGGAUUGCAGUCUGCAACUCGACUGCAUGAAGUUGGAAUCGCUAGUAAUCGUGGAUCAGCCAAGCCGCGGUGAAUACGUUCCCGGGCCUC